rnacentral:rRNA from 1 species
GACGAACGCUGGCGGCGUGCUUAACACAUGCAAGUCGAACGGAAAGGCCCUGCUUUUGUGGGGUGCUCGAGUGGCGAACGGGUGAGUAACACGUGAGUAACCUGCCCUUGACUUUGGGAUAACUUCAGGAAACUGGGGCUAAUACCGGAUAGGAGCUCCUGCUGCAUGGUGGGGGUUGGAAAGUUUCGGCGGUUGGGGAUGGACUCGCGGCUUAUCAGCUUGUUGGUGGGGUAGUGGCUUACCAAGGCUUUGACGGGUAGCCGGCCUGAGAGGGUGACCGGCCACAUUGGGACUGAGAGACGGCCCAGACUCCUACGGUAGGCAGCAGUGGGGAAUAUUGCACAAUGGGCGGAAGCCGGAUGCAGCAACGCCGCGUGCGGGAUGACGGCCUUCGGGUUGUAAACCGCUUUCGCCUGUGACGAAGCGUGAGUGACGGUAAUGGGUAAAGAAGCACCGGCUAACUACGUG